rnacentral:snoRNA from 1 species
CUUCUUUACCGAAGACUGCAGCAUUAAUAUAUAGCUAUUAAGGCAAUGAAGAGAACACUGCGUAAAUUUACAAUCUGAUCCUUAAAAUAUUAUUGAAAAUUUAUUUUUUUUAAUAUUUUAAUUUAAGAUGAUAAACGCAAGAUAUCAGAGCCUUUAU